rnacentral:rRNA from 1 species
UACAGAGGGGGCAAGCGUUGUUCGGAAUUACUGGGCGUAAAGGGCGCGUAGGCGGCCUUCUAAGUCGAACGUGAAAUCCCCGGGCUCAACCCGGGAACUGCGUCCGAUACUGGAAGGCUUGAAUCCGGGAGAGGGAUGCCGAAUUCCAGGUGUAGCGGUGAAAUGCGUAGAUAUCUGGAGGAACACCGGUGGCGAAGGCGGCAUCCUGGACCGGCAUUGACGCUGAGGCGCGAAAGCCAGGGGAGCAAACGGG